AAACGUCGCAAUACAACUGCAAAGGUCAAUCAGAGUUAAUUGCGCAUAAAUAUUUAAUGCUAAUGAUUAUUUAAAAAUUGUUAGCGCAUAAAGAUAUGAACGGUGCGUACAAACGUUUCUGAUCUGCUUCGAUGAUAAAUAAGAAAAAAAAAACGAAACAUACAUAUACAUAUACUCCAAGGAAAAUACCCAUUAUAAACUAUCAGAAAUUAUCUAAACGACUAUUAAUGAGAUAUAUAUGAGUACAAAUACAUUUAUAUAUUAAUGUAUCACAAGUUAGUUCUAAUUGGCGCGUUUCACAUCGAGAUUUAAUGCAGGCGAAUAUGUAAAUAAUAUGAUAAUUUCUUACAAUGUUCUUGACAAUAAUAGAUCCUUAGUUUCCGAUAGAAAUAGAAGGUACUACGCACGUGACAAGCGUGAGAAUGAAAUGUGAAUUUGAAAGAGAUGUUUUAAGAUUCUCCUAAACAAUUAUACUGAGCCCAAGUAACAGAGCUAUGAUGUUUCAAGGCUAACCACUAUCAAACAAAAGAAAAUGAAAGAGUGUGUUGACUUGAGCGAUAUUCCUCUUCCUAUACCAGUUCUAUUAAUACCAGUGUGUCUUUAUAUAAGCAGCUGCUUCUACGACUACCCGAUGGACAAUGUCUUGUGGGCCUAAUAAAACUGGAUAGCUCUUCCCUACAUUUCAAUUGGAAGAUAGUUUCGUCCACGUCCAAUAUCUCUCCGGGCUCGCAAGGACCUAGUGUUUCGAGAAUGCCGUCCUCCAAGCAAGGAUUCUCCACGCAACGUGCCACUGUUUCGUUCUCGAGAAGAACGAAGUAAUUCUUAGAUGGACAGAUUCUUAGACAAGAACCUUGCCUGUAGGCCUCGUAGCAAGAAUCGUUCAAUGGGAAAUACAGGAAUUGUGGUUUACAAUCGUAUAUCGGGUGAUUUUUACACCGUCAUCGUCAAGAGGAUAAAAAAGCAUGUUGCACAAUUGUCAG